rnacentral:rRNA from 1 species
AUGAAGAUUAUAUUAUCUAAUCAGCAACUGAUCUGGUACAAUAAAGAAGCAGCAAAUGAGCUAGAAAAAAUCAAUCUGGAGAUGAAUAAAUCCGGCAUCUUGAUGUUUCAUAUCUAUUGGUUCCUUGUUUGGCAGCCUAUGUUGGUAGAUGUGAGAGCUCCAAAUAUGGAAGCAGCCAGCGUGCGAAAGAUUAAAGGAUGCAUUGCUACAGUGAAAACAUUCAGUGGGCGACCAACGACCAGAAUGUCAUUGCUUUUAUCAUGGCAUCCAACACUUGCAGAUGUGACACAAAAGGGGGUUCUGAAGCUGAUGAACUUGGAUGGCCUGACAGUCUACAAUACCAACGACCAUGUCCAAGUACACGAACUUGAAAACUUUCUAAGAUUCGUACACACCUUCAGGUACAGAUGCUUGGUUUUUCUCUAG